rnacentral:rRNA from 1 species
CGUCAAGAUGAUAAGGGCACACGGUGGAUGCCUUGGUACCAGGAGCCGAUGAAGGACGUGGACGGCUGCGAUAAGCCACGGUGAGGCGCUGAACAGCCUUUGACCCGUGGAUUUCCGAAUGGGGGAACCCGGCUGGGGUAAUGCCCAGUCAUCCGUAUCUGAACACAUAGGGUACGGAAGGUAAGCAGGCGAACUGACACAUCUAAGUAGCCUGAGGAAAGGAAAGAAACCUCGACUCCCUGAGUAGCGGCGAGCGAAACGGGAAUAGCCUAAACCACCCUUGCGUGAUUGCGUGCAGGCGUAGCAUGGGUGGAGUUGUAGGGCUGAUCUUGAGCCGACUGCAUGCGGUUCGGAGAGUUACAAACGAGUGGUAUAGCCGAACCGGUUGGGACGCCGGGCCACAGGGGGUUAGAGCCCCGUAGGCGAAAUGCUACUCACUCUCUUAAUCAGUACCUGAGUACCACCGGACACGUGAAAUCCGGUGGGAAUCUGCGGGGACCACCCCGCAAGGCUAAGUACUUCCUGGUGACCGAUAGUGGACUAGUACCGUGAGGGAAAGGUGAAAAGCACCCCGGGAGGGGAGUGAAAUAGUACCUGAAACCGU